NNNUUUAAGUUAUUAUUUACACUUUAAACCUUCAAAGUUUAAUAAAUAAUUUUAUUAUUAUAAAUCUUA
rnacentral:tRNA from 1 species